UGGGGGAUAUUGCACAAUGGGCGAAAGCCUGAUGCAGCGACGCCGCGUGGGGGAUGAAGGCCUUCGGGUUGUAAACUUCUUUUGCUCUGAACAAGGCGCACCAUGGGGUGUGUUGAGUGUAGGGGUUGAUUAGCGCCGGCUAACUACGUGCCAGCAGCCGCGGUAAUACGUAGGGCGCGAGCGUUGUCCGGAAUUAUUGGGCGUAAAGGGCUUGUAGGUGGCUGGUUGCGUCUGUCGUGAAAGCUCAUGGCUUAACUGUGGGUUUGCGGUGGGUACGGGCUGGCUUGAGUGGAGUAGGGGAGGCUGGAGUUCCUGGUGUAGCGGUGGAAUGCGCAGAUAUCAGGAGGAAUACCGGUGGCGAAGGCGGGUCUCUGGGCUGUUACUGACACUGAGGAGCGAAAGCAUGGGGAGCGAACAGG
rnacentral:rRNA from 1 species